rnacentral:rRNA from 1 species
UACGAAGGGGGCUAGCGUUGCUCGGAAUCACUGGGCGUAAAGCGCACGUAGGCGGACUCUUAAGUCGGUGGUGAAAUCCUGGAGCUCAACUCCAGAACUGCCUUCGAUACUGGGAGUCUCGAGUCCGGGAGAGAUGAGUGGAACUGCGAGUGUAGAGGUGAAAUUCGUAGAUAUUCGCAAGAACACCAGUGGCGAAGGCGGCUCACUGGCCCGGUACUGACGCUGAGGUGCGAAAGCGUGGGGAGCAAACAGG